AGCAAACAUUACACCAGGGACUGUGUUGAUUUUGUUGGCUGGAAGGUUUAUGGGGAAGAGAGUUGUUUUCUUGAAGCAACUUUAUCAGGCAAUCCACUGAAUCUGUCUAAAUCUUUAUCUCUUCUUGCAAAAUAAAAAAUAAAAAAAUCAAAGAAUCAAAUCAGUUAUUAGUAUAAACUUAUAUUUUGAUCCAUUACUUUGAGUGAGAACGGUUGACCCUUAGUGUACUGCUCUUCGAUGCAUCACACCAAAAAUUUCUUUGUAUAUAAACACCGCGACAUGUCCCAUCUCCGUGAACUGUUAUCAAAUUGCAAAAUGAAGAAAAAGGUUGUUGUGACCGAUAGCAAAAGGUGGAAACAACUUAUCCAAUCAAGGGGCCGUUCUUUCAUAUUUUCUACUGCCACACCAGUUCCUAUAGCUACUGCUGGGCAUGGUAAAAUUCAGCAUUAUUUCAGUGUGACCUAUUCCUUUUGUUAUUAUCCUUACUAUUGUACCAGUAGAUUUCAGUGAAAUCAGAUACAUUCUUCUUUAUCUUGUGGCCAAAUAUGCUGCCAAUCCCUAUACUUUAAUGGAGUUUGAGAUUUAAUCUUUGUACUUUAAUCGUUGACACUGUUAGUAUUUUCUGUCAAAAUUUGCCAUCAAUACAUUCAUGCAAUCAGUACCAACUUCAAAAGCAAAUCAUUAUGAACUCACCAAACAUACUUGAUGGUAGGCAAAUUUUGAAGAAAAAUACUGUGUCUAUGAUUGGACUGAAAUUUUCAAAUCAAAAAAGUGUUUUGAGUAUUUAAUUUUCAAGUACAAGAAUUAAAUCUCAUACUUUAUCAAAGUACAGGGAUUGUCAUCAUAUUUUGAUAUUAUUAAUUAUUACCACUAACAGGAUUUAUUUCUGUUCAAGUAAUGAUCCCUAACUUCUAGGAAAUAAAGAGAUGGAGUUUAGUAUGUAAUGUACAAUGUUAGAAAUGAAUUCUCUUUUUGCCUUAUCCGCAGAUGUAAUUGUAGCAUUUGCCUUCUUGCUAACAAAAUAAAUACAACUUAGCAGCUGCUGUUAUUGUGGCAAAAAGAGAGACCUGGCGUCGAAGAGAACUUUGGAACCGAGUAGAGGAUUUCCGUGCUUUGACUGGAAUUGCCAUUUCCAGUCCAAUAAUAUCUCUUAUUGUAGGAAGUGAAAAGAAAGCCUUGAAAGCUAGCAGAAAUUCAUAUGUUGGCAAUCUUUCUCUUUUCUAUGAAAUAGAGUAGAAGCUUAAGCAGAUUCUGUCAACAAGAAGGUACAUUUUAGUCUCCAGUUACAGACAGAUCCUAGGCAAAAUUAUCUCCAUGCUAAAUCUUGUCUUCAGCCUUCAGAUACUCCUGCAUCAAAAACUCUUUCUUGGCACUUAUCCUCAGAAACCAAGUCUACUUUGAAAGUCACUACUCAGAGGUAGGUUCUUGCAUGAAAGACCUGUUGAAGAGAAUAGACCACCUUCAGUGGCAGUGAGUGAAUUAAAUCAAUUAAGUCACUACUCAGAAGUAAAAUAUCCAUUAGCCUGUUACUUUAUCAGAAUGUGUUAUAUUUCCUCAACAAUGUCUAAUUUGAGUUUAUAGAAGCAAUAAACUCAUGUAGUAAACAGUGGAUGUAGUAAACCCAUUUCAGUCUAAUUUCAAAGGGUUUUUGAAUUUCCA